rnacentral:rRNA from 1 species
AUGGAGGCCAGCGGCAUGGCUGAGGCUCGCCGCCCUCCGCACGUCGCCAUGCUGGUGACGCCCGGGAUGGGUCACCUCAUCCCGCUGGCGGAGUUGGCCAAGCGCCUGGCCGCGCGGCACGGCGUCACGGCCACGCUCAUCACCUUCGCCUCCACGGCGUCCGCCACGCAGCGGGCCUUCCUCGCCUCCCUCCCGCCCACCAUCGCCUCCAUAUCCCUCCCGCCCGUCGACCUCUCCGACCUGCCCCAUGGUGCCAGCCUCGCGACCCUCAUGUCUGAGGAGUGCGUCCGCUUGGUGCCGGUGCUGAUCGGGGUUCUGACGGGGCUCAUGGAGACGACGCGGCUGGUGGCCUACGUGGCUGACGUCUUGGGAACAGACUCGUUCGAUGCUGCCGUGGCUGCCGGCGUGCCGAGGAGAUACAUGCUCUUUACGGGGAACCUCCAUUGGCUCACGCUCAUCCUCCACCUCCCGGAGCUGGACGACACGAUGCCCGGCGAGUUCCGGGACCUCGCUGAGCCCGUCGGGCUGCCCGGCUGCGUGCCUAUCCCGGGGACGGAAGUCAUGUCGGCUCUCCAGGACAAAUCCAACCCCAGCCAGGGACGGAGUUCUCAUGUAGCCACUGGUGUCAAUUGA